rnacentral:rRNA from 1 species
UACGGGGGGGGUAAGCGUUGUUCGGAAUUACUGGGCGUAAAGGGCUCGUAGGCGGCCAACUAAGUCAUACGUGAAAUCCCCGGGCUCAACCCGGGAACUGCGUCCGAGACUGGCAGGCUCGAAUCCGGGAGAGGGAUGUGGAAUUCCAGGUGUAGCGGUGAAAUGCGUAGAUAUCUGGAGGAACACCGGUGGCGAAGGCGGCAUCCUGGACCGGUAUUGACGCUGAGGCGCGAAAGCCAGGGGAGCAAACGGG